rnacentral:tRNA from 1 species
GUCCUUGUAGCGCAAUGGAUAGCGCGUUGGACUUCUAAUCCAAAGGUCGUGGUUCGAAUCCUACCCAGGAUG